CAGUCGCCGCGGGAAUACGUAGGGAGCAAGCGUUGUCCGGAAUCAUUGGGCGUAAAGCGCGCGUAGGUGGCCAUGUAAGUCCGCUGUGAAAGUCAAAGGCUCAACCUUUGAAAGCCGGUGGAUACUGCAUGGCUAGAGUACGGAAGAGGCGAGUGGAAUUCCUGGUGUAGCGGUGGAAUGCGCAGAUAUCAGGAGGAACACCAAUAGCGAAGGCAGCUCGCUAGGACGUUACUGACACUGAGGCGCGAAAGCGUGGGGAGCGAACAGGAUUAGAUACCCCAGUAGUCCCUGUCUCUUAUAA
rnacentral:rRNA from 1 species